UACGUAGGGUCCGAGCGUUGUCCGGAAUUACUGGGCGUAAAGAGCUCGUAGGCGGUUUGUCGCGUCUGCUGUGAAAUCCCGAGGCUCAACCUCGGGUCUGCAGUGGGUACGGGCAGACUGGAGUGCGGUAGGGGAGAAUGGAAUUCCUGGUGUAGCGGUGGAAUGCGCAGAUAUCAGGAGGAACACCGAUGGCGAAGGCAGUUCUCUGGGCCGUAACUGACGCUGAGGAGCGAAAGCGUGGGGAGCGAACAGG
rnacentral:rRNA from 1 species